AGAUACUUCCCAUUUUCAGUUACGAAAUAUUGAAGUAUUUUGGGGAUUUUGGUGGAUUGGAAGCUCACUUUGGUUCAUUGGUUGCUUGAAGAUCAUUCCCUUGGACCCUAGGAGUUGUUUUGUGGUUGUCGUACGUCGAAUUGAAUCCUGAACAGUGAAUCAGUGAAUUGCCCUUGGUCCUGGACCAAGUGGAUUGAGGCGUUCUGUUGAGUAGCAGACUUGGAACUUAAGCUGCUGCGGAGCUAAGUGAGAAAACUUUUUAAGGUAACCUCUUGGUACUGGGGCUUGUUCCCCUUUUCUGUUCCACCUUG